GACGUAGGGCGCGAGUGUUGUCCGGAUUUAUUGGGCGUAAAGAGCUCGUAGGCGGCUUGUCGCGUCGUCCGUGAAAACCCACAGCUCAACUGUGGGCUUGCGGUCGAUACGGGCAGGCUAGAGUUCGGUAGGGGAGACUGGAAUUCCUGGUGUAGCGGUGAAAUGCGCAGAUAUCAGGAGGAACACCGGUGGCGAAGGCGGGUCUCUGGGCCGAUACUGACGCUGAGGAGCGAAAGCGUGGGGAGCGAACAGG
rnacentral:rRNA from 1 species